AUACCAAGUAGUCAUUAGAAUUAAUAAGUUAAAGUUUAUCAAGUUACUCUGAACCCUCAAGUGUAUGGUUUUGCAUUAGUUCAAAGGAUUAUCUGGUCACUCACACCAACUUCUUUGAUGGAGCUACUGGAGACUGGGAAGCAUCUCAGCCAACAAAAGCAGAGAUCAGGAAACACUUGGCAAUUUACAACUGCAGUGCCUCCUACGAGAUCCACAAGCUAGCAAAUGGCCCAACAACACCGGUUUUUUCCUGUCCCACCAUCCUCCUCUCAAAUCACUACACGGAGACUUACAAUUAAUUAUGAAUGCUUGGCCGAUAGCUUAGGCUUGUUUUUAACUAGCUCUUAAAUAAACUCAUAUCUUUUAAUCUAC
rnacentral:lncRNA from 1 species